UACGUAGGGUCCGAGCGUUGUCCGGAUUUACUGGGCGUAAAGCGCGCGUAGGCGGCGGUGCUGGCCCGGCGUGAAAGCCCCCGGCUCAACCGGGGAGGGUCGUCGGGGACCGCACCGCUUGAGGGCGGUAGGGGCUGGUGGAAUGCCUGGUGUAGUGGUGAAAUGCGUAGAGAUCAGGCGGAACACCCGUGGCGAAGGCGGCCAGCUGGGCCGUCCCUGACGCUGAGGCGCGAAAGCUAGGGGAGCGAACGGG
rnacentral:rRNA from 1 species